rnacentral:lncRNA from 1 species
GUGUACCUUAGUUGAUACUGGGGUGCUUUGAAAAUGACCAAAAUCAACCCUUGGUUAAUACAGGCAGAAAAAGAAUGUGUUGAAAGGAUCCUGGACAUCAGAAAAGGAUCCAAUCAACAGCCAAAUAACCCAGCUUCGGAAGGGGCAAGGAUCAGAGCAGCUCUGAGAACGAAGGGAGCAGAAACCGGGAGGGGUAAUGAUGUUCCUGUGCCGCCUGGCUCACGCAAUCAAGUCCAGUAUCCACCUGCAAGCAAUUGAGCAAGCAGCCAGGACAUAAGGCGACAUGGGUGCAAGUCCAGAAACUUGUGACUUCCCCCUUGGAGUAAGGCCAUCUACCCACUGGUCAACCACCUGACCAAGUUAAUGACUGCCUGUACUCACCUACUGCUGUAUUUCAGGUACGCUCACAAAAUGCCAGCCAGGCCUCAGAAGUUUAGAGCACCUAGGCCCAGGGAGGUAACCUAUCUCCUCUAUUUCUCCUUAACAGGUAGAAUCAGAUUCAGUAUUUCAACAUUUUAUUAUCUUCAGCUUUCUAGAGCUACACAAAGUAUAUU